GAUGAACGCUGGCGGCGUGCCUAAUACAUGCAAGUCGAGCGAACAGACGAGGAGCUUGCUCCUCUGACGUUAGCGGCGGACGGGUGAGUAACACGUGGAUAACCUACCUAUAAGACUGGGAUAACUUCGGGAAACCGGAGCUAAUACCGGAUAAUAUAUUGAACCGCAUGGUUCAAUAGUGAAAGACGGUUUUGCUGUCACUUAUAGAUGGAUCCGCGCCGCAUUAGCUAGUUGGUAAGGUAACGGCUUACCAAGGCAACGAUGCGUAGCCGACCUGAGAGGGUGAUCGGCCACACUGGAACUGAGACACGGUCCAGACUCCUACGGGAGGCAGCAGUAGGGAAUCUUCCGCAAUGGGCGAAAGCCUGAUGGAGCAACGCCGCGCGAGUGAUGAAGGUCUUCGGAUCGUAAAACUCUGUUAUUAGGGAAGAACAAAUGUGUAAGUAACUAUGCACGUCUUGACGGUACCUAAUCAGAAAGCCACGGCUAACUACGUG
rnacentral:rRNA from 1 species